UACGUAGGGAGCUAGCGUUGUCCGGAAUCACUGGGCGUAAAGGGUGCGUAGGCGGGUCUUUAAGUCAGGGGUGAAAUCCUGGAGCUCAACUCCAGAACUGCCUUUGAUACUGAGGAUCUUGAGUUCGGGAGAGGUGAGUGGAACUGCGAGUGUAGAGGUGAAAUUCGUAGAUAUUCGCAAGAACACCAGUGGCGAAGGCGGCUCACUGGCCCGAUACUGACGCUGAGGCACGAAAGCGUGGGGAGCAAACAGG
rnacentral:rRNA from 1 species